CGGCAAAUGGGAUACCUAAAGUUCCCAUGGCAGACUGCUCAGUAACACAUGAUCAACUUCCCCUUUAGAGAGAGAUAACCUCGGGAAACUGAGGAUAAUAUUUCAUAGUUGAAUUGGCUUGGAAAAGUUUUUCAACAAAAGGAAUAAGAAAAAUGGUUCUUAUUUGCUAUAGGAUAGGAUCGUGCACGAUUAUGGUUGUUGGUGAGAUAAUGGCUCACCAAGCCGAUAAUCGAUAGGGGCCGUGAGAGCGGGAGCCCCGAGAUGGGUACUGAGACAGCGACCCAGGCCUUACGAGGCGCAGCAGGCGCGAAACCUCCGCAAUACAUGAAAGUGUGACGGGGUUACCCAAAGUGCUCUUUCAAGAGCUGUGAUAGGUGAGUAAUGUUCCCUAUUAGAAAGGAGAGGGCAAGGCUGGUGCCAGCCGCCGCGGUAAAACCAGCUCUUCAAGUGGUCGGGAUAACUAUUGGGCUUAAAGUGUCCGUAGCCGGUUUAGUAAGUUCCUGGUAAAAUCGGGUAGCUUAACUAUCCGUAUGCUAGGAAUACUGCUAUACUAGAGGGCGGGAGAAGUCUGAGGUACUACAGGGGUAGGGGUGAAAUCUUAUAAUCCUUGUAGGACCACCAGUGGCGAAGGCGUCAGACUGGAACGCGCCUGACGGUGAGGGACGAAAGCCAGGGGAGCGAACCGGAUUAGAUACCCGGGUAGUCCUGGCUGUAAACGAUGCAUACUAGGUGAUGGUACGGCCAUGAGCCGUGUCAGUGCCGUAGGGAAACCGUUAAGUGUGCCGCCUGGGGAAGUACGGUCGCAAGGCUAAAACUUAAAGGAAUUGGCGGGGGAGCACCACAAAGGGGUGAAGCCUGCGGUUCAAUUGGAUUCAACGCCGGGAAUC
rnacentral:rRNA from 1 species